rnacentral:rRNA from 1 species
GGUGGUGCAUGGUUGUCGUCAGCUCGUGUCGUGAGAUGUUGGGUUAAGUCCCGCAACGAGCGCAACCCUUAUUGUUAGUUGCCAUCAUUUAGUUGGGCACUCUAGCGAGACUGCCGGUGACAAACCGGAGGAAGGUGGGGAUGACGUCAAAUCAUCAUGCCCCUUAUGACCUGGGCUACACACGUGCUACAAUGGGAAGUACAACGAGUCGCUAGACCGCGAGGUCAUGCAAAUCUCUUAAAGCUUCUCUCAGUUCGGAUUGCAGGCUGCAACUCGCCUGCAUGAAGCCGGAAUCGCUAGUAAUCGCGGAUCAGCACGCCGCGGUGAAUACGUUCCCGGGUCUUGUACACAC